UGGGGAAUUUUGGGCAAUGGGCGCAAGCCUGACCCAGCAACGCCGCGUGAAGGACGAAAUCCCUUCGGGAUGUAAACUUCGAAAGUUGGGGAAGAAAACCACCGGGCGAAGAACCCUGGUGGGCUGACGGUACCCAACGUAAGCCCCGGCUAACUACGUGCCAGCAGCCGCGGUAAUACGUAGGGGGCAAGCGUUGUUCGGAAUUACUGGGCGUAAAGGGCGCGUAGGCGGCCGAGGCAAGUCGGGAGUGAAAGCCCGGGGCUCAACCCCGGAACGGCUCUCGAAACUGCCGGGCUAGAGUGCGGAAGAGGCACCUGGAAUUCCCAGUGUAGCGGUGAAAUGCGUAGAUAUUGGGAAGAACACCGGAGGCGAAGGCGGGGUGCUGGGCCGACACUGACGCUGAGGCGCGAAAGCCAGGGGAGCGAACGGG
rnacentral:rRNA from 1 species